rnacentral:tRNA from 1 species
GGCCUCGUAGCUCAGGGGAUAGAGCGCCUCCGUCCUAAGGAGGGCGCCGGGGGUUCGAGUCCCUCCGAGGCCGCCA